GUUGGUGGUUUGACGCAAGGGAAACACCCGUUCUCAUUCCGAACACGGAAGUUAAGCCUUGUAGUACCGAUGAUACUCUAUGGGGGAAAGUAGGUAACUGCCAACU
rnacentral:rRNA from 2 species